rnacentral:lncRNA from 1 species
ACCUCUUGCGUUUCUUGCAGAUCCCCUGCCUGCAGCACGUGCUGAUCUCCAAGGGUGAGGCUGGAUGAAGCCAGGGGCUAUGGAAAGGGAGACUGUUUCAGAGGACUUGACACCAUCUUCAGUAAUUUCUCUGGUUCUUGGCAGCUCCAUUUGGCUGCGUCCCUACCCUGCAUAACCCUCCCAGCUAGUCUACUCCAGGGCAGCAUCCAGCUGGUGACCUGAGAGGGCAGUGGCGCACCAGUCUCCAUGAAGGUUGAGCUCCGAUGGCCAACAGCCAUUUCCACCUUGUGGUCUACAACUCUUCAUCCCGACUGCAUGGAGGUUGGUCUCUCUCUUCAGCUGGAUUUAGGCCACCAUCUGAGCCCCCGGGGUACGUUUUGUCUGACCCUGGCGCCAUUCGAACGGUUCUUCUACAGCAUCAGUUCUCUUUCCUGCCACCAUGUGAAGAAGGACAUGUUUGCUUCCCCUUCUGCCAUGAAUGUAAGUUUCCUGAGGUCUCCCCAGUUCUGCAGAACUGAAAAACAUGGCCAGCAAAGCAGGUGAGGCAAAGAUCAGGAAGGACAUUAAACGCCAAACUAAGGAGCGGAACUGAAUGAGCAGUGAAGGGGAACAAUGGCUUCAGCAGGUCCACUGGGCUCCUCUUUUCUGUCAGCCUCCCCCUACCCCUCACCUCUGUACUACUCAUGUUACUAUCUACGUCUCUUCACCAAUGUCAUUGUGGAAAUAAAAGCUUAUCUGUAAGAGUA